UUCUGGGCCACUUUCUUGAACUUCUUCACAAACUUUAUCUGGCUUUCACACUUGCCGCACUCAUAAUUGCUAUUCAUCCAGAACUCAUACUCGACACGCUCAUCUGGAUGUGUCAUAGCUUCCUUCCAACUGAGAUUUAUGGGGAUGCCAUGAGGAUUAAAGGUUCGACUAUAUCAUCUGCAACAAGAAUAGCUGCUGCUCCAGCAUUCUGUGCAUUCCAGGCCUUCAGGCUGAGGGGGCCAUGAUCCCAUCCGCUAGAAGUGAGUCGUAUAUCUAAGUAUUUAGACAUUAAGAAUUGAGGUGCACAAGCUAGAAUAGAGUUGAAUUAUUUACCCCCGCGAUCAGCAAGAAGAAAGACAGGAAGACCAGCAGCAGACUCAGAUUUGAAAGAGAUAAUAUGGUCGAAGCUCUUGCAAGCCUUUUGAUUUGCUGGAGGGAAAAUGACAGCACCAACAAGUGAUCCUCCUCCAGAAGCAGGGACACCAAAGUUUCCAAUUGCACACUCAUAAGUAUCUCUUAAGUUGUCUGGUGAAGUCAGUUCUAAGCUGUUGCUCUCCACCACAAAACUACCCAUGCAACACACAUGCAUUGCAGACCAAAUAACAAAACAUGCUAAAACUCCUAGCUUUUCCCACAUCUUCUAUUCCUAUUCUUGGAUCUAGAAUGUCUGUCAAGUAAUUGGACAAGACAGGGCAGUUUUUAUAGCUGAUGAAGCAAGACAAAAUUACAAGUUUGA